rnacentral:tRNA from 1 species
CUCAAAGGCUUUUUUGGGGGUUUAGCUCAGUUGGUUUAGAGCAUCGGCUUUGCAAGCCGGGGGUCAAGGGUUCGAAUCCCUUAACCUCCAUUUAUUUGUUUUUAAAUAAGUGUGAAUUAAGCCUUUUAAGAAAUGUCUUGUAUUAAAAAAGAAGCUAUUCAAACGUAUUGUUGCUUUUAAAGUGUUAUUUUUUGAUUUAUUUAGGUGAAUUUAGUAUUUUAUAUUGAGUUAACAAAUUUUUUCAUGGGCUUAAAAGAUAUGUUUUUAUGUUAUUUGUUAUCCUGAUGAAUUUCUUUUUAUGAAUUUCCAAGACUUUGAUUACAUGCAAAAACUUUAUCUUUAAUUAUUUUAUUCAUAUUAUCAAGAACCUUAUCAUGAAUCAACCUAAU